CCUGUCAUCGUCUAGUGGUUAGGACCCCAGGUUCUGAUUCUGGUAACCCCGGUUCAAACCCGGGUGACAGGU
rnacentral:tRNA from 1 species